rnacentral:rRNA from 1 species
GUGAGGAAUUUUCCGCAAUGGGCGAAAGCCUGACGGAGCAAUGCCGCGUGAAGGAUGAAGGCCUAUGGGUUGUAAACUUCUUUUCUCAGAAAAGAAUUAUGACGGUAUCUGAGGAAUAAGCAUCGGCUAACUCUGUGCCAGCAGCCGCGGUAAGACAGAGGAUGCAAGCGUUAUCCGGAAUGAUUGGGCGUAAAGCGUCUGUAGGUUGUUUAAAAAGUAUUCUGUCAAAGAUUAGGGCUUAACCCUAGAUAGGCAGAAUAAACUUUUAAGCUAGAGUUUGGUAGAAGCAGGGGGAAGUCCCGGUGGAGCGGUGAAAUGCGUAGAGAUCGGGAGGAACACCAAAGGCGAAGGCACUCUGCUGGGCCAAUACUAACACUGAGAGACGAAAGCGAGGGGAGCAAAUGGGAUUAGAUACCCGGGUAGUCC